GAGCCAUCAUGGUAGGGUGUCCAGGGUGAGGGGAGGGUGGUGUGAAUCCCCAGUAAUGCAGGUCCUUUCCAGGCCAGGCCCCUGGUCCCCAGGAGUGCGGGGAUGCCUGAGGUCUACUGCUGCCUUAUCCAGAGCUGCCAUCCCCGGCGAUGACUCAGAGUUCCUGUGGCCCCAGCAUCAUCCCUCCAUCCCUGGCUGUGAGGCAGGAGCAGAGUUGCAGACCUGAGAGGCCUUGAAUUUGUUUGAUAUAGGACUUUGCCACCAGACAAAGUGCUUUGCCUGUGAGGUCUGGCUUGGCCUGGCCUCUGAGAAAGAACAAACACAGACCUCACUGGAAGGAACCUGGAGAACGGGAGAGGAGAGGCUGCUGCUGUCUGCCCUCCCAGCAGCAGAUAUAAAGACAAUGGGCUUCUAAGUCCCCUAGAGUCCCAGCUGUGUAAUUUAAGGCGAGUUCAUCUCUCACAGCCUCAGUUUCCUCAUUUGCUGGCACCUGUCUUUCUCCUUCAUAGCCAUUGUCACUGUUGCAAUGAUAUCAACAAUGCUUACAUUUCAGAUAGAUCCCCAGCUGGGUUGAAAGGAACGUCAAGACCCUUCCUUUCUUAUGACCUAUGUAUCAACUCCCUUCUACCUUGCCUCCCUCCACUUGGAGCGAGUUCUAGUUGGUGAAAUGUAGCCAGAGGUUCCUGGAAAGGCUUUCCUUCUCAAGUAAAGCCUGGCUCAGAGAAAACCACUGGUCUCUUUCCUUUUCUUCCUCCUGACAUGAACAUGGGGCAGGAAGGAGCAUGGAGAAGACAAGAACAAGGCUCUCAGAAGGAAAUGGUGUGGCUGGAGCCAUGAGAACUGGUUGUGGAGGGGGUGAGGAAGGCAAAUAUAAUUUCUGACCUACGUAAUGAUGUAUGCACAAGAAGCCUCUCUUGAAUGUAUUAAUUCAGUAAACAGUUAUGGAGUCCUUACAAUGUGCUAGUGGGACUUUGAAGAUGAAUCCAAAUUUGGAUCCUGGCCUGGAAAGGCUCAAAGCCCAAUAUGGGAGAUUCUAGCAAGACCUUGUUUAUGUUGGAAACUGUUAGCAGACGCCGAAGCUGUCCGGGGCUGAGUGAGUACCACGUUACUCAGGCUUCACUGCGCUGAAGGAAGAGGUUGAGAUGAGGGCAGUCACUCACCUGUGAUGAAGACCCACUCUGCAGCUUCAUUUCCUGUCAUUACAGACAGUGCCUGGGCCCAAUCAGGAGGGGCUUAUGGGGAAUGGGGGGCAGGUGGCACUGGGGUGUCUAGGGAGAGCAAAUACAAAUUGGAUACCACCUAGAGGUCGCGAAAUGGAGAAUAAGUUUCUAAGAACAGCUAAAAAAUGAAAGAGACAUGACAACCAAAUGCAACAUGUGACCCUUGAUAGGCCCUUAGACUUUUUUUAAAAAAAAGCUAUAAAGAACAUUAUUGGGACCACUGUGUCAAUUUGAAUAUGAUUGCAUGUUAUAUGAUAUUAUUGCAUUAAUAUUAAACUUCUUAAGUAUGAAA
ensembl:lncRNA LINC01227 long intergenic non-protein coding RNA 1227